rnacentral:lncRNA from 1 species
AUUUGUACAGUGUCAUGUAAUUUAGAGCCACUCUCAUCUCAAUGACCUCAUUUUAUCUCCACAAAAGUCUUUUAAGUAGAAAAUGUAUUACAUCCUCAUUUUACAAAUAGGCAAACUGAAUUUCUGGUACUAGUGUGCUAUUAAAUGUUUAAAAUCCAACUAUCUGGAAAAAAGAAAAUUUUAAGUUCCUGAUUUAUAAUGUUUGCCCACUGCCAUGGUAUAAACACUCCAACAUGCACUUUUUCAAGCUGCCAACAUGUCCCUGGAUGCAAAGUUAGGAAGAAAGACCGAGAAUCACUGAAUCCUCAUAAGCCUGUUAUGAGCCCACUCCAGCAAAACCCUGGAGUUCAGAGGAAGGGAAAUGACUGAUCCAGGGUCACACAGAUGGUUGAUUCCUGAGCCCACCUUCCUUUCUCUUUAUUAGAGAACAAGGCAGGAACUGAACAUCUGAAAUACUUUAUUUAAAAAAGCAAAAAUAUAGGUACAAGGCUGGACAAAAGAAGGGGUCAGGAGGCCUCAACUUGGUGGAAACUCUCACCUAUACAGGCAGGGGGAGGAGCUACACUACUGCUGCAUGGACUGGUCCAUACCUGUAGUUAUGUUCUGAAGAUGCUAUCUCACAUGUGACACCAAUUGUGAAUCUGGAGAGAAGACUUACCUUGUUUGCCUAAACAGUACAUUAGCCCCAGCCUCCCUGCAAAUGGGUCAUACAUUUCUCAAGCUAUUUUCAGCUCCUCUGCACCUACUCACUUGCAAUACUUGUCAUAACAGGAAAUCAGUUUCAUAUACUGUAAUCCCCAAGCACGUUGCACCUGCACACAGGGAACGUGGGGUGGGGGUGGCGAGGAAAGAGUGGGUAGGCUGGGCCUCCCAGAAGGCUGCCUGGACGAGCCCUGAACCCAUCCCAAGUCUGGGUAUCCCCACUCCAAGGGCACAAGUGUCAGAAAUCAGAAUCCACAUCCAGACAUUAUUUCCCAUUCUCAUGCAGUUGGUAGUUCAUUUUUUUUUUUUAAUAAAGCAUUUGAGUAGGCAGUAAAGCCAGUCAGAACUGUUUAUUUAUAGCUGUGGAUUUUCAAUGCUGUAUAAAUUAGAAAUCAUUGCUGAAUGAGGCCUGCGCCCACUCACACGCAGGGCCGCUAUCUGUGAGUCCUUUCACACAGUUUGACUAUACACAGUCUAAAAUGGGAGAAAAUGACAUGCUCUGAGUCAAAUGACGGAGUCACAGCUAAACUGCAAAGCAGAAAACCAGCAAUUAUUUUUCCUCAGCACAAUAUGGGGAGUACGACAGGUGCAAUUAUCCAAUAUUAUUUAACAGCACCGGUUUGUGGUGUAGGGAGAAAAUAAAGGUUUCUGUGUCUUGGAGAGGAAAAAAAAGAGAAAAAAACCUGCCUUCCAGCUCCUGUUUCUAUGGAUUAGGCUGUGUUAUGUAAAUUGAAACUGGCCUGGAUUCCAAAAAUGGAAGAAGCACCUGGCUUCCUUGCCUGGGCUCCCCAGAAGCCCACCACCUGUGUCAUCAGGGACUUUUGAGAAAGGCCCCUCACCUUGGGGACCCUGAACAUUCUCGUCAGAGGCAGUGGCUCCAGGUAAGACUGCGUCGAAGGACGGUUUCCUGAGCUCCUGUCCUCAGAGGGAAAUGAUCUUCUGCACGGGCUCCCUUCUCUCGGUGAAAUGCAGAUGAGGUAAAAGAGAAGGCAACCCACAAGGAAUAAUUUUUAUUCCUUUAAUCAGAUAUCCCCCUUUUGUCCUUUAGCACAUUUUUAUUCCUACUCCCAAUCCUUCCCUUUACUGGUCCUCCUCCCUGGAAAGACCUCUCUUCUUCUGGCCAUCAUCAAAUAAGUUGGCCCUCAUGAUUUCUGAUCCUAUCUGAGCAUCAAUUCCCAGCUCCUCUAAAAAGUUUUCUCUUACCCCUGCAGGGCAGUGAGCUCUUCCUUUUCAGCUCUUUCUUCUGCAGCAGACCACAUCAGCCCCCUGCAGCAUUUUACUGCUCUCUCCUUCACCUCCCCCCUUGGUUUCUGUUUCCAUAACAGUAUGGAAUGCUAGAGAGAGCAUAAGCUUCCGAAUCAGACCAGAUCUGAAUUUAAAUCCUGACUCUGUCAUUCACUAUUUACAUAGAACCUGGGGAAAACAGUUUACUAUUCUUAGCCUUAGUUCCUUAAAGUCAUGUGAUAAUACCUACUGUGGUUAUAUAAGCUUAUUUAAAGUGAUAGCUACAAGUACCUGGCAUCCAAAAUUGGCCAUUCCAGCUCGCUUAACUGAAAACUCCUUGAGUCCAGGCAGUUGUCUGUAUCCCCCAUAAGACUUAAAUUUGUAACAUUAGAAAGUACUGAAAAUACAUAUAGACUGACUCAAGGGUUAUUUAACAACUUAAUUUUAUAGACUUCAUCACCAAAUAGCUUCCUCCUUUUCUGGAAGCUGAGAGUACCACCACGAGACUCACUGUUUCAUUUAAGAUAUUCUUCCCAUCUUUAAUUCCAGAAUCUUAUUGACAAUGAUGAUCAAAUUAUGGUUUCACAUGAUCCAUCAGUGGAAAGCAUACUGCUACAAUGGGACACAGGACAAAUCAAUUUUGAUGAAAAAAAAAAAGGAGAUGAAGGAAGGCCUGCAGCAUAAAGCCUGCAUGCAAGUGACACCUCAGAUCUGACAACUAGAAUGUCCCUCAUUACCCCAAGGAGAGCCUAACUGGGUACCAGGAUCCAAGUCAGGGAUAUUUAAUCUUUAAAAGACAGUAGGGGUGGGAGGAACAUCAAAAACAAACCUUGUUUAGAUCUGAAUUUAUUUUCCUAUAGGUGCCUGUCCACCCCUUCUUCUCAGAUGAUAUCUGCUAUCAUUGAGGCCUGAUCUAGUUUGACUUUUCUUCAUCAUAACUUCAUCAUAACUUCUUUAGCCACUCCCAUGGUAUAGGUUUUCAGAGACCAUGGGAAGGGCCUUUGCCACCCAGGAUAUCUUACUAAUGUAUCCCCAAAAAAGUCCUUCACUAGAGAUAAAAGCCUUUCAUUUUACAUGGAGAAACAUAUUUUAACACGUAAAUAUUUAGGAGAGUGGUUUUUUUUUUUUUUUUGUUUGUUUGUUUUUGUCUUUUUGCCAUUUCUUGGGCCGCUCCUGCAGCAUAUGGAGAUUCCCAGGCUAGGGGUCCAAUCGGAGCUAUAGCCACCGGCCUACACCAGAGCCACAGCAAUGCAGGAUCCGAGCUGCAUCUGCAACCUACACCACAGCUCACGGCAACGCUGGAUCCUUAACCCACUGAGCAAGGCCAGGGAUCGAACCCGCAACCUCAUGGUUCCUAGUCGGAUUCGUUAACCACAGCGCCACGAUGGGAACUCCAAGAGUGAUCUUUUGACUUGCAUUUAUUCCUGUUCAAUUAUCAAUGAAGUAUGUUCAAUGAUUUAAAAGCAAGUUUUAAUAUGGGAAGAGGUAUGCUUGGAAGAAUAAAAAUGAUAUUGUGAGAAAAGGAAUGGUACAGAAAGGGUCAGCUGCAGACUAAGAGGGCAAAUCUUACUAAGUUCACAAUGGUUUACCUUGUGGCUACCAAGAAAUGACUGGGUGUGUGUGUCUUGACUCUCACCCUCUCUAAGAGAGCCAAUCUAUGGUUAGAGGACCCAAAAUAGAGUAGAUGAUGACCUCGGCCACUGAUGGGUCAGCAAAAUUCUGCAUACCUUUGACGGAGUGGAAAGAGGAGGCACAGCUGCAACAUGCCACACUUUACAAUUCAAGUCUUGACCAACUGGCUGGCACUACAGGAAUUUAAACUUGCUUUACGGCUGAGGAGAGAAGUUAGUGUUCGUUUGUCACCAUUCUUAAGAGAGGAGACAGCAAAGAGAAAAAAUGGAUUCCACCGGCUCCUAAAGAACUUCAGCAGGACUGAACUUCCCCCAAAUUACUUUUCACCCAAACAUCUCAUCAACCAAUCCCAAAGACCCUGAAGUGUUGACUAGAGACUGACACUUUUUGAGGGCAGACUGUGUGGUUUUUUGAGGGCAAGGGUGCAUCUUAUUCACCACUGUAUCCUCCACACAUGGCAAGUGCAUGAUGUACAGUGGACCUUAAAUACACGAGCCUCAGACAGAUUUAGGUAACAUCCUUAAUGUCUCAUGAUGGUAUCAGAAUUCAAAGUCAGAUUAAUCCAACCCAAAUGCACCAACACUCCAUCAGCGGUUUUUAUUAUUUCCUGAUUGAUGCCUUUGGAAUUUAUUUUACAUCAUGGCCUAGUAAACAUAUAUACACACAUACAGACACAGCACACACACACACACACACUUUGGUUUUUUGUUUUUUGGGUUUUUUUUGCUUUUCUAGGGCUGCACCAGCGGCAUAUGGAGGCUCCCAGGCUAGGGGUCUAAUUGGAGCUACAGCUGCUGACCUACACCACAGCUACAGCAAUGCAGGAUCCAAGCCAAGUCUGCAACCUAUACCACAGCUCACGGCCACGCCAGAUCCGUAACCCACUGAGUGAGGCCAGGGAUCAAGCCCGCAACCUCAUGAUUCCUAGGCGGAUUUGUUUCCACUGUGCCACGAUGGGAACUCCAUACUUCUAACAUGUGUGAUAGACUACUUUAUUUUCUAUCCUAUUAUUUGAAAGAUAUUGUGACCAUCAAAUUGAUUUCUCAAUCCAACCUCAGGGCAACAAUCUAUAAGCUGCACAACACUGCAUCCUACUGUACUGUAGGAUUCAUUCAUUCACUGAAUAAGUAAAGUGCCUACCAUGUGUAUGGCCCUGGCCACAUGCAUGCCAUGGCCUGAGGACAGGGAUGAUGGCCAUCCCUCAGGCCGCUUGCAUCUUUUUAUCUUUCAUUCUGUUAGCAACUGCUGUGCUCAGACUCGGCUCCUCUGAGGUGUGACAGGAAGAAGAGAAAAAAUGCUUCCACUACAAGAGCUUAUAAGACCUUCUGCUGAGGCUUAAGCCUGGCCUGAGCCAAUAUAUUUGGUUACACUUUUGGGAUUUGUUUUCACUCAACACUUAAUUUUAUUAAGAUUCAAAUUAUGAAGUUAGAUGAUGUAGAGUUGGGAAAACAAAUACUAUAUGACUUCUACCUUGCCAGGAAUCUGGUACAGGAGUCUGAAAACUCUCAAUCUAGGCAUGUUUUAUUUCAUUGAAAAUUUUUCUAACUAAAUUCUAAAAUGCACUCAUGUUGAUAUUUUAUGUACAUGCAUUAAUUCAACUUUACCAGUUUUUAAAAUCAUGGGGUUCAAUAAAAUUCUACU